CGUUGGUAUAAACCAAAUUGCUUGUGCGUCACUGUUGUUGAAUUAACAGAAAGUGUACAUAUCGUGAAAUUUUGUUUUGCCUUGCAGAAGUACAUUAAAUGUGAAAAAUCAUUGUCGAAAUCAAGUAAUUUACUAAAUGUGAAACCAAAUUCGUGAUAAUUAAGGUCCAAAAUAAGUAUUCGUGACGUGAGUUUAUGUUGUUCAUGCCUUGAUCUGGCAGAUUUAUGUACCUAAAUAUAACCCAUUUUUCUUCGGUUUUUGGUAGUGUGUCUAA